rnacentral:rRNA from 1 species
AUUGAACGCUGGCGGCAUGCCUUACACAUGCAAGUCGAACGGCAGCACGGGUGCUUGCACCUGGUGGCGAGUGGCGAACGGGUGAGUAAUACAUCGGAACGUACCUUAUCGUGGGGGAUAACGCAGCGAAAGCUGUGCUAAUACCGCGUACGCCCUGAGGGGGAAAGCGGGGGAUCGAAAGACCUCGCGCGAUUAGAGCGGCCGAUGCCUGAUUAGCUUGUUGGUGGGGUAAAAGCCCACCAAGGCGACGAUCAGUAGCUGGUCUGAGAGGACGAUCAGCCACGCUGGGACUGGGACACGGCCCAGACUCCUACGGGAGGCAGCAGUGGGGAAUUUUGGACAAUGGGGGCAACCCUGAUCCAGCAAUGCCGCGUGAGUGAAGAAGGCCUUCGGGUUGUAAAGCUCUUUUGUCAGGGAAGAAACACCGGCUCUAACACAGUCCGGGAAUGACGGUACCUGAAGAAUAAGCACCGGCUAACUACGUGCCAGCAGCCGCCGUAA